rnacentral:rRNA from 1 species
CACGUAGGGUGCGAGCGUUGUCCGGAAUUAUUGGGCGUAAAGAGCUCGUAGGCGGUGUGUCGCGUCGGCCGUGAAAACCUGCAGCUUAACUGUGGGCUUGCGGUCGAUACGGGCAUCACUGGAGUUCGGCAGGGGAGACUGGAAUUCCUGGUGUAGCGGUGGAAUGCGCAGAUAUCAGGAGGAACACCGGUGGCGAAGGCGGGUCUCUGGGCCGAUACUGACGCUGAGGAGCGAAAGCCAGGGGAGCAAACGGG